UACGUAGGGGGCUAGCGUUGUCCGGAAUCAUUGGGCGUAAAGAGCGUGUAGGCGGCCCGGUAAGUCCGCUGUGAAAGUCGGGGGCUCAACCCUCGAAUGCCGGUGGAUACUGUCGGGCUAGAGUGCGGAAGAGGCGAGUGGAAUUCCUGGUGUAGCGGUGAAAUGCGCAGAUAUCAGGAGGAACACCGAUUGCGACGGCAGCUCGCUGGGACGUCACUGACGCUGAGACGCGAAAGCGUGGGGAGCAAACAGG
rnacentral:rRNA from 1 species